rnacentral:sRNA from 1 species
AUUUUUAUCCCCUAUGGAGCCUCAUGUUUUUCAAUUUUGCAUUGGUCAGCAUAAUAGACUCAACCUGGGUCAUUCUACCCGCAUUGUUAGGGCUUUAUAAGGUUUGAAUUUUGCACGUCUGGACAGAGCGCACGAUUUCCCCACACGGAUCUGACCACGUGUAUUUAGUUUUGUAAUUGCCUGAUAACUAAAUUUCCAGACGGGGUUCCCGGGGUUAGUCACAUCCUUGCAUGGACGAGGCUCUGUGUAUUGGCCUGAGAGGUGAUGAUGACUGACGGCCUAUGGUGGACGACCGGAAGAGUUUCCGGAAGAGUUUCCGGAAGUUGAUAACCUGGAGCAGGUGAACUGGUGAACUGGUGAACUGGUGGACACAAUGGACAAUGAUUCAGGGUAGCAUUGUAAUGGGCGGAGACAGGAGGAUUAGAGCCUAAGGACCGUCUCGAGUCGUAUAUUGCCGACUUUUUUGUAUAUUUGUAAUUAUUGUAUAUAAAUAUUUUAUUGU